rnacentral:rRNA from 1 species
UAUAAGCACUUGUACUGUGAAACUGCGAAUGGCUCAUUAAAUCAGUUAUCGUUUAUUUGAUAGUACCUUACUACAUGGAUACCUGUGGUAAUUCUAGAGCUAAUACAUGCUAAAAACCCCGACUUCAGGAAGGGGUGUAUUUAUUAGAUAAAAAACCAACGCCCUUCGGGGCUCCUUGGUGAAUCAUAAUAACUUAACGAAUCGCAUGGCCUUGCGCCGGCGAUGGUUCAUUCAAAUUUCUGCCCUAUCAACUUUCGAUGGUAGGAUAGUGGCCUACCAUGGUGGCAACGGGUAACGGGGAAUUAGGGUUCGAUUCCGGAGAGGGAGCCUGAGAAACGGCUACCACAUCCAAGGAAGGCAGCAGGCGCGCAAAUUACCCAAUCCCGAUACGGGGAGGUAGUGACAAUAAAUACUGAUACGGGGCUCUUUUGGGUCUCGUAAUUGGAAUGAGAACAAUUUAAAUCCCUUAACGAGGAACAAUUGGAGGGCAAGUCUGGGCCACG